UACGAAGGGGCGUAGCGUUGUUCGGAGUUUACUUGGGCGGUAAAGACGCGUGUAGGCGGUCGUUAAGUUGGGGUGAAUCCCGAGGCUCAACCUCGGAACUGCCUUCAAAACUGGCGACCUGGACUCAAGCAGAGGCAAGCGGAAUUGCGAGUGUAGAGGUGAAAUUCGUAGAUAUUCGCAGGAACACCAGUGGCGAAGGCGAC
rnacentral:rRNA from 1 species